AUUGAACGCUGGCGGCAUGCUUUACACAUGCAAGUCGAACGGCAGCGCGGGCUUCGGCCUGGCGGCGAGUGGCGAACGGGUGAGUAAUACAUCGGAACGUGCCCAGUAGUGGGGGAUAGCUCGGCGAAAGCCGGAUUAAUACCGCAUACGACCUGAGGGUGAAAGCGGGGGAUCUUCGGACCUCGCGCUAUUGGAGCGGCCGAUGGCAGAUUAGCUAGUUGGUGGGGUAAUGGCCUACCAAGGCGACGAUCUGUAGCUGGUCUGAGAGGACGACCAGCCACACUGGGACUGAGACACGGCCCAGACUCCUACGGGAGGCAGCAGUGGGGAAUUUUGGACAAUGGGCGGAAGCCUGAUCCAGCAAUGCCGCGUGUGUGAUGAAGGCCUUCGGGUUGUAAAGCACUUUUGGCGGGAACGAAAAGGACUGUGCCAAUACCACGGUUCGAUGACGGUACCCGCAGAAUAAGCACCGGCUAACUACGUG
rnacentral:rRNA from 1 species